rnacentral:lncRNA from 1 species
GGCAGCGAGGGGGCGGGACCGGGGCGGGGCCUCGGCGCGCUGAUUGACAGGUGGGGCGGGGCCACGGCGGGGCGGAGCCGCGCGGCCGAUCCGGAGCGCCGGGGCCGUGUAGGGCGGGGGAGACACCGGGCACGGAGCCGCCGCUGCCGCGCUCCCCGCAGCCAGGCAGAGGCCAGGCCUUGUUUACUCGGACAGUCGCAGAAGUUGGUGGUGGACAUUGAAUCUCCGACCUCCCAAGGGACUGACCACAUGUGUGUUUUUGGAUGUGCCCCCACCUGUGAGCAGGGAAACCUGGGAAGAUGAGAAGAGGAAGCUGAAGCCCAGUUCCUGAGAGGCCAUGAUGAAGUUUCAGCCUGGUUCCAGGGUAAGUACAUCUUGAGAACGUGUCAGUGUGCUUAGGGGAAUGCAUAAACCUUUCUCAGAAGGUAGAGAAUGCUUAUUUGCUCACAAAAGAAAAUGUUUUUAGUUGGUUAAAUAGUGGAAGAGAGGCGGUCACAGUUUUUUGUCCUUUAACUAGCAGCUGUUCUCUGUUGUAGAUGUGAACGCAGUAGAUGGUGCUGAAGCAACUCUGAGGCUCCUCCUGUGAAAUAUCCACAGUCCAGUGUAUAGAGAAAGUGCUUGCUGGCUCUCCCAAGUGUUGACGGUCCUGUGUCUUCAAGAGAUGUAUUCCAGGACAAGAAAACACUGACUGUUAGUUUUAAAGAUGUUAAUAAAUAAUUAUUUGUGUUACUUUUUCA